GCAGAACCACCAGCUCCCCGCCGGGUCCAGCCGACACCUCGAAGCAAGAGAACAACAUGGCAGCUCCAGCUAAGGGUGAGAACCUGUCCCUGGUGGUGCACGGGCCUGGAGACAUCUGCCUGGAGAACUACCCAAUACCUGAGCUGGGCCCAAAUGAUGUGUUACUAAAGAUGCACUCGGUGGGGAUCUGCGGCUCAGAUGUUCACUACUGGGAGCAUGGACGAAUUGGGGAUUUUGUUGUGAAAAAGCCAAUGGUGCUUGGGCACGAGGCUGCUGGAACAGUCACAAAAGUAGGAGAGUUGGUGAAACAUCUGAAACCAGGAGAUCGGGUUGCCAUCGAGCCUGGCGUUCCCCGAGAAGUAGAUGAGUACUGCAAGAUUGGCGGGUACAACCUGACGCCAACUAUCUUCUUCUGUGCCACGCCCCCGGAUGAUGGGAACCUCUACCACUUCUACAAGCACAAUGCUGACUUCUGCUAUAAGCUUCCUGACAGUGUCACUUUUGAAGAAGGGGCCCUGAUUGAACCUCUCUCUGUGGGGAUCUAUGCCUGCCAUCGAGGUUCAGUUUCCCUGGGGAACAAGGUCCUUGUGUGUGGCGCUGGGCCAGCUGGGAUGGUCACUUUGCUUGUGGCCAAAGCAAUGGGAGCUGCUCAAGUUGUGGUGACUGACCUAUCUGCUUCUCGGUUGACCAAAGCCAAGGAAGUUGGAGCAGACUUUACCAUCCAGGUUGGCAAAGAGACCCCUCAGGAAAUUGCCAGUAAGGUGGAAAGCCUGCUGGGGAGCAAGCCGGAAGUUACCAUUGAGUGCACAGGAGCUGAGUCCUCUGUCUAGACGGGCAUCUAUGCCACUCACUCUGGUGGAACCUUGGUGGUUGUGGGAAUGGGCGCCGAGAUGGUCAGUUUACCCCUGGUGCACGCAGCCGUGCGGGAAGUGGAUAUCAAAGGCGUGUUUCGAUACUGCAACACGUGGCCGAUGGCAAUUUCCAUGCUUGCAUCGAAGACGUUGAAUGUAAAGCCCUUAGUUACUCACAGAUUCCCUCUGGAGAAGGCAGUUGAAACCUUUGAAACAGCCAAAAAGGGAGUGGGGCUGAAAGUUAUGAUCAAGUGUGACCCCAACGACCAGAAUCCCUAGAUGUGAAUUGAUCUAUGCCCUCAGCCCAUUCUCUCAGCAUCCAAGGGCUAAAUGGCUAGAAGGGGAGGCCNUAAAUGCAGAACUUUCUUUUGAAUGGUAAAAAUAAUAAANUCAUAAGCGGAGAGCCUUA